rnacentral:rRNA from 1 species
CCGGAGAGGGAGCCUGAGAAACGGCUACCACAUCCAAGGAAGGCAGCAGGCGCGCAAAUUACCCAAUCCCGACACGGGGAGGUAGUGACAAUAAAUAACAAUACAGGGUUCUUUUGGAUCUUGUAAUUGGAAUGAGUACAAUUUAAAUCUCUUAACGAGGAACAAUUGGAGGGCAAGUCUGGUGCCAGCAGCCGCGGUAAUUCCAGCUCCAAUAGCGUAUAUUAAAGUUGUUGCAGUUAAAAAGCUCGUAGUUGAAUUUCGGGAUCAAUGUUUCGGUCAUGCCGUUGGUAUGUACUGAUAUUAUUGGUUUCUCACCUUCUAAAGAACCGUAAUGCCAUUAAUUUGGUGUCACGGGGAAUUAGGACUGUUACCUUGAAAAAAUUAGAGUGUUUAAAGCAGGCUCACGCUUGAAUACAUUAGCAUGGAAUAAUGAAAUGGGACAUCCGAUUCUAUUUCGUUGGUUUCUAGGAUCGAUGUAAUGAUUAAUAGGGAUAGUUGGGGGCAUUAGUAUUCAAUUGUCAGGGGUGAAAUUCUUGGAUUUAUUGAAGACUAACUACUGCGAAAGCAUUUGCCAAGGAUGUUUUCAUUAAUCAAGAACGAAAGUUAGGGGAUCGAAGACGAUCAGAUACCGUCGUAGUCUUAACCAUAAACUAUGCCGAAUAGGGAUCGGAUGAUGUUAAUUU